rnacentral:rRNA from 1 species
AUUGAACGCUGGCGGCAGGCCUAACACAUGCAAGUCGAGCGGAUGAGUGGAGCUUGCUCCAUGAUUCAGCGGCGGACGGGUGAGUAAUGCCUAGGAAUCUGCCUGGUAGUGGGGGACAACGUUUCGAAAGGAACGCUAAUACCGCAUACGUCCUACGGGAGAAAGCAGGGGACCUUCGGGCCUUGCGCUAUCAGAUGAGCCUAGGUCGGAUUAGCUAGUAGGUGAGGUAAUGGCUCACCUAGGCGACGAUCCGUAGCUGGUCUGAGAGGAUGAUCAGUCACACUGGAACUGAGACACGGUCCAGACUCCUACGGGAGGCAGCAGUGGGGAAUAUUGGACAAUGGGCGAAAGCCUGAUCCAGCCAUGCCGCGUGUGUGAAGAAGGUCUUCGGAUUGUAAAGCACUUUAAGUUGGGAGGAAGGGCAGUAAGUUAAUACCUUGCUGUUUUGACGUUACCAACAGAAUAAGCACCGGCUAACUUCGUGCCAGCCGCCGCAGUAACAC